UUUGGAUCAUCUCCAUCCAGCUUCUCUCCAUCCCCUCUCCAUCCAAAAUCUGAGCCGUUGAUUAGGAAUUUUAAAUGUGAGGAUUAAUUCAUGUUUUCUCUCUCUUCUUAAAUUGAUCCAAGCCUUUAAAUACAAUUCAUUUUUUUCUCUUUCUUCUCAAAUUGAUCCCCACCUUUAAAAUUUAAAAUUAAUGACUCAAAUUUUGGAUGGAGAGGGGAUGGAGAGAAGCUGGAUGGAGAGGAUCCAAA
rnacentral:pre_miRNA from 1 species